rnacentral:rRNA from 1 species
AUUGAACGCUGGCGGCAGGCUUAACACAUGCAAGUCGAGCGGGGUGAUGGUGCUUGCACUAUCACUUAGCGGCGGACGGGUGAGUAAUGCUUAGGAAUCUGCCUAUUAGUGGGGGACAAUAUCUCGAAAGGGAUGCUAAUACCGCAUACGUCCUACGGGAGAAAGCAGGGGAUCACUCGUGACCUUGCGCGAAUAGAUGAGCCUAAGUCGGAUUAGCUAGUUGGUGGGGUAAAGGCCUACCAAGGCGACGAUCUGUAGCGGGUCUGAGAGGAUGAUCCGCCACACUGGGACUGAGACACGGCCCAGACUCCUACGGGAGGCAGCAGUGGGGAAUAUUGGACAAUGGGGGGAACCCUGAUCCAGCCAUGCCGCGUGUGUGAAGAAGGCCUUAUGGUUGUAAAGCACUUUAAGCGAGGAGGAGGCUCUUUUGGUUAAUACCCAAGAUGAGUGGACGUUACUCGCAGAAUAAGCACCGGCUAACUCUGUGCCAGCAGCCGCAGUAA